UCAAAUAUAUUCACUCAACAAAGAAUCUCAUAACACAUACAAACUCUUUUCUUCUUCAGCAAUAAUGUCUAGUACAACAAUUAUAGGUUCUGAAUUGGACGCCAGCCUUGUGGCGAGUGAGAUUGACGUUGCACCAAAGACAGUGGAGGAAGAACCAGUGGUGGAGACGGUGGAGACCAAGCAGCCCGAAGAACCCGUUGUGACAGAAACACCGAAGGUGACUCCGGGUGAACCCGAAGAAGUCAACGUUGAUGUCGAUGUCGAGGAGUGAAAUGGGAAGAAACUUAUUGUGACUCUCUAUAUUACAUGAUUGUAUUUGGUUCAUAUUUUCUAUAAAAAUGUGUGUUUAUGUCGUUACGGUAUCUUUGGCUUUUGGUUUGGAAUGAUUUGGGGUAAUAAAACAAAAAAGUUUGGAUUUUUAUUUUUCGAUAA